rnacentral:rRNA from 1 species
GACGAACGCUGGCGGCGUGCUUAACACAUGCAAGUCGAACGCUGAAGACCCGGCUUUUGUUGGGUUGGAUGAGUGGCGAACGGGUGAGUAACACGUGAGUAACCUGCCCUCUUCUUUGGGAUAACGCCCGGAAACGGGUGCUAAUACUGGAUAUUCACUGAUCUUCGCAUGGGGGUUGGUGGAAAGGUUUGUUCUGGUGGGGGAUGGGCUCGCGGCCUAUCAGCUUGUUGGUGGGGUGAUGGCCUACCAAGGCUUUGACGGGUAGCCGGCCUGAGAGGGUGACCGGUCACAUUGGGACUGAGAUACGGCCCAGACUCCUACGGGAGGCAGCAGUGGGGAAUAUUGCACAAUGGGCGAAAGCCUGAUGCAGCGACGCCGCGUGAGGGAUGGAGGCCUUCGGGUUGUAAACCUCUUUCGCUCAUGGUCAAGCCGCAACUGUGGGUUGUGGUGAGGGUAGUGGGUAAAGAAGCGCCGGCUAACUACGUG